rnacentral:piRNA from 1 species
UGAAAAACAGAGGCGAGAUGACCCAGAGUG